UAACUCAGCCAGAAGUUAUGGGUCCAUUAUAGGAGUGAGUGAAGUUCUGUGGCCUGCAGUGUGCAGGAAGUCAGACUAGAUGAUCAAAGUGUUCCCUUCU